UCUGCCCGCUGGCGGCGUGCCUAAUACAUGCAAGUCGAGCGAACGGACGAGAAGCUUGCUUCUCUGAUGUUAGCGGCGGACGGGUGAGUAACACGUGGAUAACCUACCUAUAAGACUGGGAUAACUUCGGGAAACCGGAGCUAAUACCGGAUAAUAUAUUGAACCGCAUGGUUCAAUAGUGAAAGACGGUUUUGCUGUCACUUAUAGAUGGAUCCGCGCCGCAUUAGCUAGUUGGUAAGGUAACGGCUUACCAAGGCGACGAUGCGUAGCCGACCUGAGAGGGUGAUCGGCCACACUGGAACUGAGACACGGUCCAGACUCCUACGGGAGGCAGCAGUAGGGAAUCUUCCGCAAUGGGCGAAAGCCUGACGGAGCAACGCCGCGUGAGUGAUGAAGGUCUUCGGAUCGUAAAACUCUGUUAUUAGGGAAGAACAAAUGUGUAAGUAACUAUGCACGUCUUGACGGUACCUAAUCAGAAAGCCACGGCUAACUACGUG
rnacentral:rRNA from 1 species